AUCAGUGGCGAACGGGUGAGUAACACGUGAGCAACCUACCCUUGACUCCGGGAUAACAGCUGGAAACAGCUGCUAAUACCGGAUACGACCUCGACCGACAUCAGUUGAGGUGGAAAGUUCUGGCGGUCAAGGAUGGGCUCGCGGCCUAUCAGCUAGUUGGUGAGGUAACGGCUCACCAAGGCUUCGACGGGUAGCCGGCCUGAGAGGGCGACCGGCCACACUGGGACUGAGAUACGGCCCAG
rnacentral:rRNA from 1 species